CACGUUCAUCUUUUAAUUAAGACGGAAGUAGACGAAAGUCGAAGGAACGCAUG
ncrna:unclassified sequences Glutamine riboswitch